UGUGAUUAUAAGCUUCACAGAGGCACUAACAUGGCUGUAGACUCUUCUUGUUCAUUUAUUUUCACGAAAUUAUUUUUCAUCUACAAAAAGUUUGCAUAAGAAAUAGCAAAAGAUUUGAUAUUAAGAGACUUUAAGAGAUCCAGUAAAUCAAUCACUGACUUAAAGGAAUCGUUCAAAUUUUGGGAAAUUAUUAUUUGCUCUCGAGAGUGAGAUGGCCAGAUUGAUGUCACUUUCAAGGAGGCCUGGAAUUUCAUAAUUUGAGGUACGAGGCCACUUGGCCUGCGGGGCAAUGUUUUUGAGGGCACAAAGGCCACAUGCCAAGGCAUCAAGGCCAUAAGUUAAGAAACGCGAUUUUAAUGAACUUAAAUAAAAAAUCAAUUCAAUUUCUAAAAGCAUUAAUGCCUUAAUACACAGUGUAACACUUCUAGAGAAAUAAAAACAAUUUUUUAUCAAAAUAAUAGUUCAUUGUAAUUUUGUCAUAUAUCAGAGAGCACAGAACAGCAUCCGCAAGUGGAAAACCGUCCUCACGAGGGAUCAUUUCUGUUCCUCGUGCACAAAUGCACGGGGCUGUCACGAGUGCUCGCUCGACCCUCCUUACGCACUCGCAACUGCUCAACACUUGCUUGCUUGGCAAGUUGACUUUUGAGACUUUGGAGGCGGAGACUCAACUUUCUUCUGAUUGGCUGGCGGGGGCCACUUGUCUCGCCUACCGUCACGUCUGCAUUCAAGGAUUACAUCCAGUCAUGGGCGCGCACAGAUCCCGCUGUUGUGGUAAUACUGUGGUCAUCCUGCUCCCCUCCACAUCCUCUUAUCUCAACUCAGGACAUCCUUCAACACUCCUCUGCAACAAACUCUCAGCAUUUACAACUGUCUUUAUAAACACGUUUCAGUACAAGUUUGUCCAUCAUUUAGCUGGUAACCAAUGUAUGGUAGUUACAAAUAGCUGCAACGCUUUGUCCUUUACAGUGUUAGGCAGACACAGCCUUUGAUUUUGUACAGGUUUUUGGCCAAUAAAACCCCCCAAAUCGAA